CCUACGGGAGGCAGCAGUGAGGAAUAUUGGUCAAUGGAUGAGAGUCUGAACCAGCCAAGUAGCGUGAAGGAUGACUGCCCUAUGGGUUGUAAACUUCUUUUAUAAAGGAAUAAAACGAGGCACGUGUGCCUUUUUGCAUGUACUUUAUGAAUAAGGAUCGGCUAACUCCGUGCCAGCAGCCGCGGUAAUACGGAGGAUCCGAGCGUUAUCCGGAUUUAUUGGGUUUAAAGGGAGCGUAGAUGGGUUGUUAAGUCAGUUGUGAAAGUUUGCGACUCAACCGUAAAAUUGCAAUUGAUACUGGCAGUCGUGAGUACAGUUGAGGUAGGCGGAAUUCGUGGUGUAGCGGUGAAAUGCUUAGAUAUCACGAAGAACCCCGAUUGCGAAGGCAGCUUACUAAACUGUGACUGACAUUGAUGCUCGAAAGUGUGGGUAUCAAACAGGAUUAGAUACCCCUGUAGUC
rnacentral:rRNA from 1 species